GCUGUCAAGAUGCAAAUAAGUGAUCCUCCUCACCAGCCACACAUGAGACCUUUUGUCUUGAUAUUUUACUCCGAAUCCAAUGGGACCUUCUGUAGGAUGCAUAAACUGAGGCUCUGAGAGGUCAUAUAGCCUGUUCAAGGUCAUUCAGGGAAUGAUGGUGGCACCCGACCUAUGCCGAAUCCAUAGCAUUACAGAAGAUCCAAGCCUCACAAAGAUGGUUGAUCCAGCACCCCAGAGCACCCCAGAGCACCCCACAGUGCCCUGCUGGCUGAUGAGAAAGAGUCACAGAGUUCUGGAGAGAUCUGGAUUGACCUCCUUCUUUUAACCGCUUAGGCAGGGGUAUGGCUAAUGGGGCAGCCUCCCUGACUUCCAGCAUUCUGCAUCGUAAGAGUGAGUGCAGGAGCAGGGAGGUGACCCAAGGACCUGCCAGA